rnacentral:rRNA from 1 species
ACUCCUACGGGAGGCAGCAGUAGGGAAUUUUCCGCAAUGGACGAAAGUCUGACGGAGCAAUGCCGCGUGAGUGAUGAAGGUUUUCGAAUCGUAAAGCUCUGUUGUAAGGGAAGAAUAGCAGUAGUAGGAAAUGACUACUGUGUGACGGUACCUUACCAGAAAGCCACGGCUAACUACGUGCCAGCAGCCGCGGUAAUACGUAGGUGGCAAGCGUUAUCCGGAUUUAUUGGGUUUAAAGGGUCCGUAGGCGGAUUAAUAAGUCAGUGGUGAAAUCCCAUCGCUUAACGAUGGAACUGCCAUUGAUACUGUUAGUCUUGAAUGAGGGUGCAGUGGUUGGAAUGUGUAGUGUAGCGGUGAAAUGCAUAGAUAUUACACAGAACACCGAUUGCGAAGGCAGAUCACUAACCCUAAAUUGACGCUGAGGGGACGAAAGCGUGGGGAGCGAACAGGAUUAGAUACCCUGGUAGACUGU